ACAGAAACCUGCAGGCUGUGAGGGUCAGGGAUGCAGGUUCCAGAGGACAGGGACUUGCAGGCAGGGGCCUUCCCACAAGUGCCUGGUGAGGCUGGCACUGAUGUGGCAUCACCAGGGAAGGGAGGAGGCGGUAACUGAGCAGGGGCGGUUGCAGUUUGUGCUUGCACUGAAGACCUGGGAGGGCUCCCACCCACCAGGACUCCCACCCAGGUGCCAGUGAGGUGGGAGACACUGUGCGCUGGAGAGUUGGUGAAGGUGUUCCUGCACCCACUGUCUGACAGGGUCACAGUGUGGGGGAUGCUGUGGCAGGGCCGCACCGUCUGGAAACAAGAACCAUGAGGAAUGUUCAGUGUUUUGGUUAUGAUACUGAUGACAUGGAUAACAGGGCAUAGGUCAAUCAAUAAGAAAAGUACGUAUUGCCUGAGAUUGCACGAAAAUUCCCAGAAUGAGACUAAGGAUACAAUUAAGACAUACCACCAACAGACCCUCCUUCGCCUUACACAGGAAUUUAUGAUGAAAAUGGGGAAAACAUAGUUGGCAUUAAUGGCAAAUGGGUUGAGGCGCAGAGCCUGCCCUUUAGUUAAAGAAUACUGGGUGUACUUUGACCAAGGAUCAAAAAACUCUUUAAGAAAGCAGUUAAAUGGGUCAUAUGAAAAAAGGAAAUUACCUUGGAAAUUAAAAAUAAUGUAAAAUUAACAUAGUUAUAUUUUAGAGGCACUUCAGAGUAGUAGGCUUUUAAGUAAUAGGCUUUCACUAUUUUAAGUGUGUUUCACUGGGACUUUAGAAGUAAGAAAGCUUACCAAUAAUCAUAGGUAUGCUUUAAAGUUAAAGGUUAAUGAAAUAAUUAUAGGUAUGCUUUAAAGUCAAAAGUUAAUAAUAGGUCAAGAGACAUGUAGCCAAGUUGCAUGUUCUAGCACCUAGUGAUUGAGGUAAAAAUGUAAGAGCUUAAUCACGAUUGGCAAAGGUUACAGGAAAAUAUUUUAAACAAUGUACUCAAUAUCUUAGGUAAUCAAUAUAUGUCAGAAAGGAUUGUAACUCUUGAAAAUUAUGUAAAUCAAAGAAGUUCGGGCUUUGAGGCUAUCCAUUAACUACCUGCAAAAAAGGUAUAAAAAUAAAGGCCCUUCUACGGGCAGCAGAUCCUCCUGGAGGCUGCUGUAACAUGCAACCUGUCCUCCUGUCUCUUGUUUUGCGGAGGCCACUCAUCCUUCAGGACCCCUGGAUCCCUGAUGGGGCUGGACCCAAGGCAUCGGACCCCAUCAGGAGCCCACAGCUUGGGUCCAGGAAAGAGGAUGGGGCCCCUGAGGUGGGGAGGCUCACUGGAUUGCGUCCAUCUCCCAGGGAGACCAAGCAUGAUUUGCUCAUGGCCUGGACUGGCGAGCAUCAGAGACCGGCUAGCCGUGGACCCUGGCCUUCCUGACCACAGUGAUGAAGCUGGAGCCCUCCGUGGGCAGCGCGUUGGGGAAGUCCCUGCUGAGACACAGUCCCUCACAGGCUGGGUCUGAGGCGUCUGUUGGAUAUUCCUGUCGAGGGGUGACCUAAUUGAGUCUGAGGUUCAAGAGGCAAAUCUGGAGUUCGCCGUCAUCCAGAUGCGGCUUCAUCUUGGGCUGACCGAGCCCCCCACGGCAGACGUGUAGACUGGGAAGUGGAGACGGCUAAGUCUGGUACAUGGCUACCUUGAGAGAUG
rnacentral:lncRNA from 1 species